UACUCUUAUCAAUCGAGUGGCUCGAGGAGUCCUAUGAGGCUAUGACCACUUCCUUUCUUUUUUCUUCUCUGAUCAGAACUGCUCCUCUUCCAUUCUCCACCGAUAAUUCUCUCAAAACUCUUCUCGUUAGAACCAGAAGAGGUGAAUAAAGUAAAAUGAUGAAGAGAAAGCUCAAUUAUGCACUUCCAUAGAUGCUACCAUGAGUUGAGAGUUACAACGAAAUGUAAAGGAGAUUCUAUUAUAUUGGUUGUGUUGUUUCUUCUAAGGUUAAUUGAAGUGGAUCGUGAUGAAGCUUGAAGCAUUGGUGAUGGUAAUUCUGCUAGAAGCUUUAAGAUUUAUUUACGCCACUCAAAAUGGGUUCGAAUUGAACAGCAAGAGACUAGAAACUUGCACAAUGUUCUCUGGAAGUUCUUUUUCUUCUUGUAUCUGACUUGAUCAGAACUAAGGAUUACAGGCGAAGUUUAGUCUCUUAGUUUCAUUGGAGUAUUGUUGAUUGCAUGUUGAUAUUGGAGUAUUUUGUGGCGAAAACCUUCUGGCAGAAGAAGUUAUUUGAGAAUUUGAGGUGUCCAAAAAGCACUACGAAACAAGAGUAUAGUUAGCUGUUCAAAGUAUAGGUAAUAGAGUACUUUUGGAUCAAUGCAACUUUUAUUGUAUAUCUUGUUUCCUCCAAACAUGAUUGAAAUUUACAUUACUAAUGUACUUUUGGAUCAAUAUAACUUUAGUUCUAUGUCUUAUUUCCUUUGGACAAGAUUGA